CGGGGCGUAGCGCAGCUUGGUAGCGCAUCUGCUUCGGGAGUAGAAGGUCGCAGGUUCAAAUCCUGUCGCCCCGACAA
rnacentral:tRNA from 5 species